CGGGGUGAGUAACGCGUGGGUAACCUACCCUGUACACACAGAUAACAUACCGAAAGGUAUGCUAAUACGGGAUAAUAUAUUUGAGAGGCAUCUCUUGAAUAUCAAAGGUGAGCCAGUACAGGAUGGACCCGUGUCUGAUUAGCUAGUUGGCAAGGUAACGGCUUACCAAGGCGACGAUCAGUAGCCGACCUGAGAGGGUGAUCGGCCACAUUGGAACUGAGACACGGUCCAA
rnacentral:rRNA from 1 species